rnacentral:rRNA from 1 species
UACGUAGGGGGCAAGCGUUGUCCGGAUUUAUUGGGCGUAAAGAGCGUGUAGGCGGCCAGGUAGGUCUGCUGUGAAAACUCGAGGCUCAACCUCGAGAUGUCGGCGGAAACCAUCUGGCUAGAGUCCGGAAGAGGAGAAUGGAAUUCCCGGUGUAGCGGUGAAAUGCGCAGAUAUCGGGAAGAACGCCCGUGGCGAAGGCGGUUCUCUGGGACGGUACUGACGCUGAGACGCGAAAGCGUGGGGAGCGAACAGG